rnacentral:rRNA from 1 species
CUCGCAAGGGCAACCGGCGAACGGGUGCGUAACACGUGAGCAAUCUGCCGAUUUCUGGGGGAUAGCCGGCCCAACGGCCGGGUAAUACCGCAUACGUUCUCGAGGGGGAGUCCCCUUGGGAAGAAACCUCCGGGGGAAAUCGAGGAGCUCGCGGCCUAUCAGCUAGUUGGCGGUGUAAUGGACCACCAAGGCUAUGACGGGUAGCUGGUCUGAGAGGAUGGCCAGCCACAUUGGGACUGAGAGACGGCCCAGACUCCUACGGGAGGCAGCAGUGGGGAAUCUUGCGCAAUGGCCGAAAGGCUGACGCAGCGACGCCGCGUGUGGGAUGAAGCAUUUCGGUGUGUAAACCACUGUUGCCCGGGACGAACAGCUUCCUUCGAGGAGCCUGACGGUACCGGGUGAGGAAGCACCGGCUAACUCCGUGCCAGCAGCCGCGGUAAUACGGAGGGUGCGAGCGUUGUCCGGAAUCACUGGGCGUAAGGGGCGCGUAGGUGGCCUGUGGAAGUCUGCGGUGAAAGCCCGGCGCUCAACGCCGGGUCGGCCGUGGAUACUCUCGGGCUUGAGCUUACUAGAGGCAGAUGGAAUUCCGGGUGUAGCGGUGGAAUGCGUANAGAUCCGGAAGAACACCGGUGGCGAAGGCGGUCUGCUGGGGUAAUGCUGACACUGAUGCGCGACAGCGUGGGGAGCAAACAGGAUUAGAUACCCUGGUAGUCCACGCCGUAAACGAUGGGCACUAGGUGCUUGGGGGAGCGACCCCCUGAGUGCCAUCGCUAACGCAUUAAGUGCCCCGCCUGGGGAGUACGGCCGCAAGGCUG